rnacentral:lncRNA from 1 species
GACUAUACACUUCUUGAGGCGAAGCAGGCGCGUAGGAAGGCCCGCCCCUUUUUGACCCACAGUGCACCUCGAGAGGUCCUCUGCGCCUGCGCAAAUGGGCCGUUUUCGCUCCAACCUGGUCGUGCGGUUUAACGGCUCUUCAGUUGCCAGGCAACGGCGGGCCCUCAGGGAUCCCGGAAAAGGGGCGGACUGGCCCCACAUACACAGAACAGUGCGCAUGCGACAGUGGAAAACAUCGGGUCAGAACCAGCACCCCCCCCGUCCCGGGCACUGUGCCGGGCCAUCUCCCAUCGCCGACUUCUGGUGGCGCAGGAGGUGGCUCCUGGCACAGCUCGUCUGGCUGUCCUGACCCCUACACUCGAGCGGGCACGUGCACGUGCACAUGCACGCACACACACCCUCGAGGUCCAGGCCGGGGGACACAGAGCGGAAGGGGAUCCCAGCCCGUUCCCGUCCUCGGGGUUUGCCCGGGACACUUGCUCCUUCCGCCACAUUGGCCUCUGCCAUCGCACGGUGCCAGCCUGUGGAGCCGGGGCUGAGUGUGCCCAAGGGUUAGAGAGGGCUUGGGAACCCGGCCCGGCCCGCUGGCAUUCCCUCCACCUCCCAAUGGGCAGGGGUGCAGCCCGGAUCUCCCAAAACUACCGGGGAGGCCUGCCUGCCGGGCCACCUCCCCGUUGUGGGCCUCUGCUGGCAGUGUCUUCAGGUGCACAGGGGAGCUGGGUCCCUGUCUGAGACCAGCUAAGGGCCCCUGAGUCUAGCGUCUCGCCGCCCUGGACGGAGAAGCCUCCUGGGGGACAACAAGCCGACCCAAGCUGGAGCUGACGCUCAGCCUGGAGGGCUGGGGAGAGCAACAAGAAGAAGCGGCGAAACUCCCGUCGCGUUAGUGCCCACGUCUUCAGAGACACCUGCUGAGCCUCCGCCAGCCUGGUUUGCGGCCCCACUCUGCCCAUCGACGAUUCCGCUGCCAUCAGACUCAUCUUCCUGGCCCCCUGCAAUACUCGCGUCCUCUGCAGGGACCUGCAUUGCUGUCCCGCCUCUUCGCCUUGUAACCCUCCUGGAACUCAACCACCACCACCACCUCUCAACUCAGGCUCCCGCCAGGGCAGGAGGUUCGCGCGCCAAGCUCCGCCACGGCCCCACCCAUAAUGCUCUGCGUGAGGAGCACAGCGCCUGCGCAAACCGGCCCUCAGGCCGACCCUUUCCCGCCAACCUGUUCUUGCAGUUUAAUGGCUCUUCAGUUGCCAGGCAGCGGCCUGCCCUCAGGGAUCCCAGAACUCCAGCGACCUCCCCCCUACACGCGCACUCACACACACACACACACACACACACACACACACACACACACACACACAGAGCAGUGCGCAUGCGCCCGUGGAACCCUAGGCG